GGGAUAGUAGUUAAAUAUAACAUUUGAGUUGCAUUCAAAAAGUAUUGAUACCUCAAUCUAUCUU
rnacentral:tRNA from 1 species